rnacentral:rRNA from 1 species
GACGAACGCUGGCGGCGUGCUUAACACAUGCAAGUCGAACGGAAAGGCCCUGCUUUUGUGGGGUGCCCGAGUGGCGAACGGGUGAGUAACACGUGAGUAACCUGCCCUUGACUUUGGGAUAACUUCAGGAAACUGGGGCUAAUACCGUAUAGGAGCUCCUGCUGCAUGGUGGGGGUUGGAAAGUUUAGGCGGUUGGGGAUGGACUCGCGGCUUAUCGGCUGGCUGGUGGGGUAGUGGCAUACCAAGGGUUAGACGGGUAGCCGGCCUGAGAAGGUGAACGGCCACCAUGGGACUGAGGGACGCCGCAGACUCCUACAGGGGGCAGCAGGGGCGAAUAUUACACAAUGGGCGGAAGCCGGAUGCAGCAACGCCGGGUGCGUGAUGACGUCCUGCUGGGUGUGAACCGCAUUCGCCUGUUACGAAGCGUGAGUGACGGUAAUGGGUAAAUAAGCACCGGCUAACUACGUG